rnacentral:tRNA from 1 species
GUGCAUGUAGCUCAGCUGGAUAGAGCGUCUGGCUACGGACCAGAAGGUCGAGGGUUCGAAUCCUUUCAUGCACG